UACGAAGGGCCCAAGCGUUAUCCGGAUUUAUUGGGUUUAAAGGGUGCGUAGGCGGCUUAUUAAGUCAGUGGUGAAAGCCCCAAGCUUAACUUGGGAACUGCCAUUGAUACUGAUGAGCUUGAGUAGAUUUGAGGCGGGCGGAAUGUGUCGUGUAGCGGUGAAAUGCUUAGAUAUGACACAGAACACCAAUUGCGUAGGCAGCUCGCUAAACUCUUACUGACGCUGAGGCACGAAAGCAUGGGGAUCAAACAGG
rnacentral:rRNA from 1 species